UACGGAAGGCAGCAGUGGGGAAUAUUGCACAAUGGGCGAAAGCCUGAUGCAGCUAUGCCGCGUGUAUGAAGAAGGCCUUAGGGUUGUAAAGUACUUUCAUCGGGGAGGAAAAAACAAAACUAAUAAUUUUAUUUCUUGACGUUACCCGAAAAAGAAGCACCGGCUAACUCCGUGCCAGCAGCCGCGGUAAUACGGAGGGUGCUAGCGUUAAUCAGAAUUACUGGGCGUAAAGAGCACGUAGGUGGUUUUUUUAAAGUCAGAUGUGAAAUCCCUGGGCUUAACCUAGGAACUGCAUUUUGAAACUGAAAUACUAGAGUAUCGUAGAGGGAGGUAGAAUUCUAGGUGUAGCGGUGAAAUGCGUAGAUAUCUGGAGGAAUACCUGUGGCGAAAGCGGCCUCCUAAACGAAUACUGACACUGAGGUGCGAAAGCGUGGGGAGCAAAACCAGGGAUUAGAUACC
rnacentral:rRNA from 1 species